rnacentral:snRNA from 1 species
GUGUAUCCCUGCCCUGAAGCACAUUUACUAAAACUGGAAUGAUAUACAGAAGGUUAGCAUGGUCCCUGGGCAAGGAU